GAGUUUGAUCCUGGUUCAGAUUGAACGCUGGCGGGAUGCUUUACACAUGCAAGUCGGACGGCAGCACGGACUUCGGUCUGGUGGCGAGUGGCGAACGGGUGAGUAAUGUAUCGGAACGUGCCUAGUAGCGGGGGAUAACUACGCGAAAGCGUGGCUAAUACCGCAUACGCCCUACGGGGGAAAGCGGGGGACCUUCGGGCCUCGCACUAUUAGAGCGGCCGAUAUCGGAUUAGCUAGUUGGUGGGGUAACGGCUCACCAAGGCGACGAUCCGUAGCUGGUUUGAGAGGACGACCAGCCACACUGGGACUGAGACACGGCCCAGACUCCUACGGGAGGCAGCAGUGGGGAAUUUUGGACAAUGGGGGCAACCCUGAUCCAGCCAUCCCGCGUGUGCGAUGAAGGCCUUCGGGUUGUAAAGCACUUUUGGCAGGAAAGAAACGGCGCCAGAUAAUACCUGGUGCUAAUGACGGUACCUGCAGAAUAAGCACCGGCUAACUACGUGCCAGCAGCCGCGGUAAUAC
rnacentral:rRNA from 1 species